rnacentral:rRNA from 1 species
CGUUAGACGAACGGUCUGGAAAGUCCGACGAUACAGGGUGAUAGUCCCGUAGUUGACGACGUGUGUUCAGUGAAAUCGAGUAGGGCGGGACACGUGAUAUCCUGUCUGAAUAUGGGGGGGACCAUCCUCCAAGGCUAAAUACUACUGACUGACCGAUAGUGAACCAGUACCGUGAGGGAAAGGCGAAAAGAACCCCUGUGAGGGGAGUGAAAUAGAACCUGAAACCGUGUACGUACAAGCAGUAGGAGCAGGCUUUGUCCUGUGACUGCGUACCUUUUGUAUAAUGGGUCAGCGACUUAUAUUCAGUGGCAAGGUUAACCAUCUAGGGGAGCCGUAGGGAAACCGAGUCUUAACUGGGCGUUCAGUCUCUGGAUAUAGACCCGAAAC